AGAAUCAACGCUGGCGGCGUGCCUCAGACAUGCAAGUCGAACGCGAAAGUCCCCUUCGGGGGGCAAGUAGAGUGGCGCACGGGUGAGUAACACGUAGGUAAUCUACCUUUGGAUGGGGAAUAACAACCGGAAACGGUUGCUAAUACCGCAUAAUGCAGCGGCACCUAAUGGUGACAGUUGUUAAAGCGGGGGAUCGAAAGACCUCGCGUCUGAAGAGGAGCCUGCGGCGGAUUAGCUAGUUGGUAGGGUAACGGCUACCAAGGCUACGAUCCGUAGCCGGCCUGAGACGGGCGUCGGCCACGACUGACACGUGACAUACGGGUCAGACUCCUACGGAGGCAGCAGUCGGGAAUUUUGGGCAAUGGGCGAAAGCCUGGACCCAGCAACGCCGCGUGAAGAUGAAAUCCCUCGGAUGUAACUCGACAAGAACGGAAGAAUAAGUAGGAACAACUACCCCUAUAGAUGAACGUACCGUUAGUA
rnacentral:rRNA from 1 species